AUAUCUUUGUGAAUUUUAACAAAUGUCAAAAAAUAAAACUAAAUGAAAAACACAUAUAAAAGUUGAUUAUAACAAUAGUAUUAGUGAUGUUAUUAGAGUCAUUUGAAUCAUGAUCAAGUAUUUGAUACUCUUCCUUGUUGCUGCUGCUGCUGCUACUGUUACUUUGGGUCAGUUUUGCGACUCUGGAGAGGAUUGCCAUGAAAAUGAAUGCUGCGUUGCUGAUAUGAGUGGAAUGA